rnacentral:rRNA from 1 species
AUGGCGCAGCCGGCGAUCCCAGAUGAACUCCUGGAGGAGAUCUUCAUCCGCCUCCCCACGGCCGCCGACCUCGCGCGCGCCUCCGCGGCCUGCGUCUCCUUCCGUCGCGUCAUCACCGGCCAUCCCUUCCUCCGCCGGUUCCGCACCCUCCACCCGCCGCCUCUCCUCGGCAUUGUCGGCGGCAGCCUCAUCCUCGCCAAGCCGCCUCACCCUUCCGCCGCCGCGGCAGCCACCUUUGCCGACGCCGACAUUCUGCUGGGAGGUUUUUCUGGAAGACACGCUGCUCGUGCUCGAUGCACAAAGGAUGGAGUUCUCCGCUGUUGA